UCUCACCCCCCAGGUGCUCCCAAUCAGCUUAAUUAACACUUGUCCGCUAUAAAUACGGCAUUGGGAGGACACAUGAAGGUCCCGCUUCGCGGACGAACGCCGCACCACGGGAAGAGGACUAGAGGUGGACGCAUUGUUAUUCUUUUUUAGAUCCAUUUUUAUUACUGUUUUUUAACUUUUUAGAGACACUUUGAGGGGUGUCCCAGCAGGGCCUUGGUAGGCUCAACCCCUCGGAGGCCUGCUCAGAGUGCAUACCGAACCAUGGAGCAGUGUCCUCCCAGGGGUGAGAUGGACGCCACGCCACCCUGCCCUAGCUGGGACCUAGGCAACCCUC